UACGAAGGGGGCGAGCGUUGUUCGGAUUUACUGGGCGUAAAGGGCGCGUAGGCGGUGCGUAAAGUCAGGCGUGAAAGCCCCGGGCUUAACCUGGGAAUUGCGCUUGAUACUGACGUGCUAGAGAACGGGAGAGGAUGGCGGAAUUCCCAGUGUAGAGGUGAAAUUCGUAGAUAUUGGGAAGAACACCGGUGGCGAAGGCGGCCAUCUAGACCGUUUCUGACGCUGAGGCGCGAAAGCGUGGGGAGCAAACAGG
rnacentral:rRNA from 1 species